rnacentral:lncRNA from 1 species
UUGUGGGAGUCCGAAACGGCCUAGGAAUCCUCCUAAAACACAACGAAAACAUCUAAAAAUUGGCUGGACCCUAUUACAUGGCCUUAGGCCCAAUAAAACAAGGUUAUAACCCUCAUCUUUGGCCCAUAGAUACCCAUUGGACAGGGAAUCCUCCACUUGGCCGAAAUCCCAUUGAUGAAGAGGAUGCGGCCUUCUUCUCAUCUCUUUAUGGCGGUUUCAAUGUUCUGAAAUCAACACUUGAGCUACCUCCCGCCACCUUGCUGCCACCUCCAUGGUUUGCUGUCCAACGCUGAUCCUUGAGGUCCAAGCUAGGUCCUUCAUUCCUAAAACACAUAAAAGAACCCAUCUUAGGCGGCAGCAUAUUCUCAUUAAUAUUAAAUGAAGUACCGACGAACGAAAGUACCUGAUAAUUUAGUUGUCGUGCACGAGCUCUAGUAAUUGGUCCAUGUAUCUCCGGUACUUGAGGUGUAGGUGCGGUAGGGGCUGUGGUUGUAUCAUUACUUGGGAUGUCCUCAUCAGGUUCGGGCCACCUGGAGGUGUAAAACCCUACGUCCUGCUUGUCUGAGCUGGCAUUGGUUUAGAUCAAGUGUUUACAAGUUGCCGGGUAAGUUCCCGGGUACCCUCUUCCUUUGGCUAGAUACUACUUACUAUUCUUUGCUAGUGGUGGUGGCUAACGGUGAGCUGGUCGAACUCAGCCGAACCCUACUGUCUACUAGGAUCAAUGGCAAGUCCAACUGAGCCGAACGAACCUAAACCCAACUUACCUGAACCCCUUGACCGCUGGCGAGGGUCCUCCUUUUAUACUCAAGGGGAUGCCACAGGUGCCACGGUGCAUGGGCUACAAGUGUCGAGCGGGGAGGCAUACAACUCCCCCGGUGAGCUGGUGGCAUGCAUGGAUGCGACCUCCGCCGCUAGGGGUCUAAAGCCCUAGAGUAGGACUGGACAGCCACUGUUCCCUAUCGGACGGGUAACGCCCCGUCGGUCGGCUUAUUUAAUGAGCCGUGCGCCUCACUCCUUGCCUUGGUGGGGCCGCGCAUCCCACGCCCGCCACGCGCCCGCGUGGCGCUGUUGGUCUUGCUACUAGGCCCCACGCUUGAGGCGUGGCAUGCGCCCGGGAACCCCCUGUCCCGGCAAGUCGAUCCCCGGGAAGCGCCCGGGCCCAACGCACCCGGGAACCUCCCCCGGGAAGCAGCUUCCCGGGAGGUGCCCAGGCGGGAAUAUUCCCCGAAGCCCCACUAGCCCCUUCCGGGCUGGUAGCUUGCCAGGCUGCUCACAGACGCUGCCCGGGAUGAAACCUUCCCGGGAACUCGGGAACAGGGCCCACGCGUCGCGCAGCGGUGGUACCCUGGGUGCCCCUGGUGCGACAGCCCGCGGCAAAUCGGGGCCCACACGUCGGUUGAGGGCAUAGCCCGGCAACCAACCAGGGGGAAGACUCUUCCGGGAGUAGAUGAUGCCGGCCCACGCCCGGGGGCUACUGUCGCACCGGUGGCACCCGGGGUACCACCGCUGCGCGACGCGUGGGCCUCGUCCCUGAGUUCCCGGGGAUGUGUCCCAUCCCGGGCAGCGGCUACGAGCGGCCCGGCAAGCUACCCCCGCCAAUGGUCAAAGGGUUGGAAUCUCAGUUGGUUCCGGUAGACGGUUGAGUUCGAUCAGUCCACGGUUAGCCUCUAGCAUUAGCAGAGAAUAGUAAGGAGUACCUAGCUAAAGGGAGAGAGUGCCCGGGAACUUACCCGGCAACCUGUAAACGCUUGAUUCACAACCAAUAUCAGCUCAGACAAGCAGCACGUAGGGUCUUACACCUCCGGGUGGUCCGAACCUAGGUAAAAAACGUGCGUGUAUCUGUUCUUUGGUUAGCGCGCACUUUUAGUACAUCAUUUUGCCGGCCCCGCAGGGCCUCAUCGGCCGAGCCGGCGAUCACCGGGGCGAACCCCGACGCCCCUAUCGAACCUAAAAGGGGGCCGUGACCGCACGCCCCCGGUGUCGGAGCACCGUGCGACGACAAAAUGCCUUUAGGGCUAUAUAACUAUUUAAAUAAAAUAGUUUUUCAACUCCAAAUAAAUAUCCAAAAAUUAAAUGAUAGCUUAAUUAUGCAAUAAAACCCCAUUUAUAGAUAAACCCUAUUGGUUUUAAGAUCCAAAGCUCAAAUGGGUGAAACCCUAGGGUUUAAAAUGAAAUAAAAACCUUUUUAAAGCCUUUUGAGAUUCAAAUUUGAAUUCAAAUAUGCAAUUGUGGCAUGAUGCUCAUGGAUGCAAUGCAUAUGAAAGGUUUUAGAAUUUUGGGAUGUUACAACCAUAGUUCGGGCGUUCCAUUUGGCAUAUCGCAUACACACUGGUGUUGUGUUUGGAGAUUUGUUGGUACUUUGCAUACAUAUAGGAUUGCGGCACUAGUCUGGAGUGGUCAUUCUGUGGACACUGAACCACUACCAGCUGUGCUCGCAACUCUUGAGUCCGUACGACGCUUCGGUCGGGCUCUCGUUUCAGAUUAGACUCAGUUGGGUGGUCCCCUGGAUUAGUUGUGGGGCUUGGAAACAUCGUGUCGCCCAAUCCUGCCGACACACGUCUUUGUGUGUUCCUACUUGAGUGGCAAUAAGGGUUGGACGAACGUGUACGGGUAUAUUGGCACACCCUGCAGGGAUAAAUCUUUCUAAAAGCCGUGUCCGCGGUUAUGGACGACUUGGUUGGUCAUUACUUGAUCAUAGAGAACUUAACCAACUUAAUCUCAAAAACUUGAGUAGUAAUUAGCCUUAAUCAUGGAUAUGCUUAAACUGCUUAAAGUGUGAGUGUCCUUUGGAUUGCUUCCUCACAGGGUGUUGAGGGGUGAUAUGAGGAUUGUGUUGUUUGGUGUUUAGUAAAUAGGUUAAUCACCUCACACUUCUCAUCCUCUACUUAGACGUUGUUAUUAGAGUGUCUCUCUAGAUUUUGUUGCUGCUGCAUAAACCCCACCAUAUCCCUCCUUUGAGACUUGUUGCAUAUUUAGUUUAGUUCUCCCCGUAAGUCUUGCGAGUACUUUGUACUCAGUUGCUUUGCAACGUUGUUUUCUUCAGAGGUUCCAACAGAGCAGGUGAGCCGCUAGCUUCUUCGGGGAGCAUGACGUUAGAUUCGAUGUUUUGCCAGGAGAUCCAGAUCAGGGUUCUGAGACUCGUGGCGGGUUUCCUUCCAGCUUCCAGCCUCUUCAGGCCAUGUUGUAUUCUUGUCCGUACUCGAGCAUAAUUCGACUUCCGCUGAUGUAAUGAUGUAAUGUUGGGACAUGUGUCCUCUCUUUGUAAUAAUUGUUAUUCUGCUCCUUGUAUGAGCUUUGUAAUUACUCUCUUCUAUAGAGUUUUGGUAAUGAUAUUCAUGUUGCAAAAUCCUGCGAUGAGCACAUUAAUGCAUGUAUGUAUUGAGGUGUUUAUCGUAGGUUAAAAACCUGAGGCUUGAAUUAUGCAAAGGUUAGCAAUCUGGGGCUAAAUUGUAUAAUUCCGGUCCCGGGGUCUUACAGACGUGAACCUCACUGCAAUGCUGCCGACAACAAUGAGGGACAAGACAACAAUGCCGCCACUAUGCAACAACUGUUAGCAGCCCAGACUCAGAUCCAACAAGCACUCACCCAGAAGAUGAACAACAAUCAGAACAACAACAACAACAACAACAACCAGCACCACAACCCGUUUUCUGAGGUUGCGCUCACCUACCUUCACCAACUCUUCUGAACCAAUAGUGGCUGAUGAUUGGCUCCGCUCUGUGAGCAAGUGGCUAGUAACUGUGGGCUGCACUGAGACAGAAAAAGUGAGGUGUGCCGCGCACUUACUCGAAGGACCGCCGCAGCUUGGUGGGAGACUUAUGAAAUCACCACCCCCAUGGAAGAGGUCACAUGGGAGAUGUUUCAGGAUGCUUUCCGCACCGCCCACAUCUCUGCAGGCGCGCUGAGCCUGAAGAAGAGAGAAUUCCACAAGCUGAGGCAAGGGAACCGCAUGGUGUCUGAAUACAUUGAGACAUUCAACAAGCUGUCUCGCUACGCUCCUGAUGACGUCAACACUGACGCCAAGCGUCGUGAGAGGUUUUUGGAUUGAUUGAACGACGAGCUGGCCGUUCAGUUAUCUGUUGUCUACAUACCUACUUACCAGUCUCUGAUGGACAAGGCUAUCAUCCUAGAGAAUAAGCAGAAUCAGAUGGAGAACCGAGGAAGAGGCCUCACCAUGGAAGUAACCACACUGGUUCACACCAGAAGCCGCGCACCUCUUAUGAGGGUAGUGGCAACUCAUCAAUGGUAAAGCAUGGGAACCACAACCAGAAUCACCAGGGAGGAAGUAGACAUCACCAACGCCAUGGAGGACAAGGACACAACCACCAGGAAAACAAUGGCAACAGGCACCACCAGCAUCACCAGCACCAACACUCACGUCAGAGGAACAACAAUGGGAAUGGCAAUGGCCGAAGCAAUGGAGGCAACCCAGGACAGAACCGCAACGCCAACAAGGACCUGAGCCAGGUGGAAUGUUUCAAGUGUCACAAGAUGGGACACUACUCCAAUGAAUGCCCAGAAAGGUUCGAAGGGAGUGGUGUUAAACCCAACUCGUUCCAGAAGGGCAACGUGAACUACAUCGGCAUGGAGGAGAUCACUGAGGAGAAAGGUAUCGUAAUCGGCACCUUUCACGUUAAUUCAUUUAAAGCACUCGUACUGUUUGAUACUGGUGCAUCGCAUUCUUUCAUAUCAAAGAGAUUCAUGGAUAGGAAUGAAUUACCGACUAGUACACUAGCGAACCCCAUGAAGGUGAAGUCACCAGGGGGAGAAAUGUUGGUUCUUUAUGAAUGUUGACUACUGACACUAGGAAUUGGAAAACACGGGUUCCCCACAAACCUGAUAGUGUUAGGAUCGAAGGGCUUGGAUGUAAUCCUAGGAAUGGAUUGGUUAGCCAAGUAUGAAGAACUCAUAGAUUGUGUCAGGAGGACAAUUACAAUCACAACCCCAGAAAAGAAGCGAAUCCGCUUCAAGUCAACCUAUGAACUUAAGAAACCCAAGGUAAAUUCUCUUAAGGGGGUUAGUCUAGAGGAUGUGCUGAUAGUGAAAGAAUCUCCGGAUGUGUUUCCAGAGGAAUUACCAGGCAUGCCACCUGACCGUGAUGUGGAAUUCCUUAUCGAGUUACUGCCUGGAAGUGGACCUAUAGCCAAGAGACCGUAUAAGAUGGCUGUGGACGAGUUAAAAGAAUUGAAGAAGCAACUCACAGAAAAGUUGUGUAAAGGCUUUAUUCGCCCUAGUUCAUCACCCUAGGGAGCACCUGUUGAUAUGGACAUGCUAACCAUGGAUAUGACCACUAGAACCCUAAUUGUUGGUGUCUCUAAUAAUUAUAAUCAGGUGAAUUCAAUUACAAAAUGUUUUCAAUAUGUUACUUGCAAAGAGGCGGAGCUACUAUCUUGUGUAAUCUUAUUAUGUAGGCAUCUUAUUGAACUUUACAAGUCCAAAGUGAAGAUGAAGUGUUAUAGCCUGCAAAGGGAGAUUCAAAGUGAAGCCUAUCAAGUGUACUUUCCAACAAAUCAAACGGCACAUGGUUCGGAGCUUGCUAGAGAAAGAUAUCACGAAUUAAAGUUGAAUCCGAUUCGGGUCCGAGCUGUCAGGAGACCCGAAUUUGUUUUAAUCACCCAGGCCGCAUCCGGAGUCCAAAUCAAGCAAACAAGUACUUGUUGGAAAGGUAAUUACAAGACCUUUCCAACGGAUCUGGCCCCAUCAAGAGAUUCGACUCGUGCUGACCGUGGCGGACAAAACAAGCUGACGGAUCUGUUUUUCUGUUUCCUAAAGAGUUGUAGUUUGUUAGGAAAGUUAGAGAUAGAGUUGGAUUUCGGACUCCUUAUUCAAGGUGGACGAAAAUAUCUCUCCCUCCUCCUUUAUAUACCCCAUGAGCCCCCCUAAGGAGCCUUGGGUUUUGUUUAGUUAAAAGUUAGCCAUUGCUACUACUUCGUGUAAUCGCGUGUGUCGGUUAGACCACCUGUUUUACCGCUUUCGGAACCCCAACUUAUCGUCUCGUUGAGACAUUGGUUUGAUAUAGUAUAUUCGCAAUUUUAGAUUGCAUCCGCUAUUUAUCUUGUUCUUGCUUGUUCUUCGAUUGUUUGCAGGAACAAAGACCUUCGUGGUCAGGUUGAUCGUGCCCCCGCGUGAUCAAUAACCCUCUGGAGUUGGUGUAUCGAUCGCUAAGGCGCUGCCUCCUAGGCCGUAGUCGGAUCGUCAACGUCACCUCCUACCCAAAUCGAGAGUUACCAAUCUCAUCGAAAGAUCGGGCCACCCGCACCCGUAUCACGUGGUAUCAGAGCCAGGUUGCUCGGUGAGAUUUUUCCAGUUUAUCCCUAGUUUAGAUCUGUUUUACCUAUCGUCCAGAAAAAGCCAAACAAAAAUUAGAAUUAGUUACCUUGUCCUAGAACCAAUCUGAGCCUUGCAAUUUUCACUUUAGUAUUUGCAUUGUUGAAUCUUUGCUGCAUUAAUCGUGUCGAGUUGCUGGAUUUGAUUGGAUCGUUUUUCAGAUUUUUUCUACUAGAUCGAACUUGCUUUUGGUUUUCUUGUUCUUCGUGUGACGCAGGUUUCCUUCAUCAAUCUUCCGCCGCCAAACUUCCUGCCACACCACCCCCAUAAUCUCCCGCCGCCACCAUAUCUUACACCGAGUCUCUCAUCGAGUCCUACACCGAGUCCCUCUUGGAGUCCUACACCGAGUCCCUCAUCGAGUCCUACACCGAGUCCCUCUUGGAGUCCUACACCGAGUCCCUCAUCGAGUCCUACACCGAGUCCCUCAUCGAGUCCUACACCCAGUCCCUCUUCGAGUCCUACACCGAGUCCCUCGUCGAGUCCUACACCGUGUCCUACAUCGAGUUCUACAUUGAGUCGGCAAGUUAUAGUUUUCAGCCGCAAGUUCGAGUCCGAGUCUAAUCAAGAGUGCUUUUGGAAAGUUUUCAUAAUAGAUCGAAUUUUGUUUAGAGAUCAAGUUGUUCGGAAAGUUGUCAAAAAAAAAAGGAAAGAAAAAAAAAACGAAAAAAAAAAAGAGAAAGAGUUCGAGUCAGUUUCGGACCCGAGUCCGAGUAGAAUUUUAGUUUCGGGUGGGUUUGACCCGUGUUCAGUAAAACGGGCGUAUCUUUUGCGUAUCAACUCGGAUUUGGACGUUCUCAGACUUUUUGGAAAGCUCACGACGAGGCGCAUCAGGAAAUAUCCAUGGCUUUGCCCUGCACUUUGACCCUCAAAUUCGGUUUGUAAGGUGGACUUUCGGAGCUUCCAAGUUUCUGCAUCCGUUUUCCGGCGUCGCUGCAGCCCGGUGUUUCUCAGUUUCCUCCACCGUCCGACAUCCGUUUUCAGUGAUCUUGCCCUUGCUAGAAAUCUUGUGUCGAUACGCUUCUAACCCAUAUUUUUCCAUAUUUUUCUGAAAUUUUCUUACUACAGUCUUUGCUGUUCUUCGACAGACCGACGUACAUUUUUCCGGUCCUUCUUUUGCGUGAGUUUCUGGGGUUAAAAAAAAAAGAAAAAAAAAAGAAGAAGAAAAGAAUAAGAAGCCAAACAGAAGGCCACAAAAAGAAAAAAAAAGAAAAAAAAAUCCCAGGGAUUUACUUGUUGUGCCAUCUUUUGAUCUAUCUAUUCCUACCUUCUGCAGUAUCUAGGCUUAGAUUAUUUCUGUAAUUCGUUCUUAUCGACUCCAGCAGCUAGGACUAGCAUUAUUGAGCAUAUUUUCAACUUUGCAUUGCUGAUUUGAUUAUUUGCUAUUCCUUGCUACUCACAAAAGCCUCCAAGCUCCACAGAUUCUACACCUAGGUUGGUUUGUUACCGAGGCAUCGAUACAUUUAAUCUUCGGAGGGCUUGGUCACGCCGCUGGCCAUCACCUUCCUGUUUUGCAUGGUAAGAACUUGAUUUUUAGCUUGAGAGUUGUGCGACUUGUAGCCACAUCCUAGUAGUUGAUACGAACAUAUUACUGUGAUUUGUUUCUUGUUUUCUACUAACCAUGACAGGACUUACACGAAGCAUGGCAACUAGACCGAUGCUAUCCCGUGACCGUGAUGAGUGCUUUUCACCACGGCCAUCCUCCACGUCUCUUGUUGAUAAUGCCACGGCAACGGUACAAAACAAUCCUUCUAAUACAAUUAAAUUGUGUGUACCUUUCUUUGAGGGGGAAAAUGAUGCUGAAACGUAUAUAGAUUGGGAGCUAGCUUUAACUGCACAAUUCACAUGCUUCCAUGUACUUGAUAGUCGCAAGGUUCAAAUUGCUAGUAGUAAAUUUACAUUUGCUGCUUUAUCUUGGUGGAAUGAGAUAGUUAGAGAAAAGAAAAUUCCCCACACUUGGGUUGAUAUGAAGAAAAUCAUGAGAAUAAUAUGUCCCUUUUAGUUAUGCUUUUAACUUGCGUUCAAAAUUAUGACGUUUGGCACAAGAUGAUAAAACUGUUGAUGAUUACUACAAUGAGUUCCAAAUUAUAACCUUGCGAUCUGGUUUAGAUGAAACCGAACAAAGAAAAAUGGAUAGGUUUUAUUGUGGGCUUAACUUUGAUAUUUCUUACAUGAUUGAAUAUGGAAAAUACGACUCUCUUUUGUGUUUGCUUAAUCUUGCUCGUAAAGUUGAGAGGAAAUUACAGCGAGGGUCUACUACAAAUGAGUCGAGCCCACAAGGUAGUGAUACAGAGGAUUGUGUUGCUGAACUAAAAAGGGCAUGUGAUGAAAUAAAUGUGAUACCUGUUGAAUUUUCUGCACCAUGUGAAAUUAUUGUCGUACAUGGUGAUUCAAGUGCACCUACUGCUGAAAUUAAUUCUUCUAAUGAUUUGAGUGCACAAAUUAAUUUUGAUAUUGAUGAGAACGAAUCAUGUGAGGAAAUAACUAAUGUUUUGGGAGAAGCAAGUGAGAUAGAUAAAUUUGAUUUAGGUUGUGUCGAGUUGAUUAGACAUGGAGUGAUUGAUAAAGAUCCACCUAUUAAUUCUUUGUGUUAUAUUACACUUGAUACACCUAUAUAUUUGUCACAUGCAAUGGAUAAAGUUUCUGAGUUAACAAUUUCAAAAUCUUUUGCUAAUGCCCAUGCAUACACUAUUCAAUUAAUUGGAGAACAUGAUGUCAACAAUAAAGUUUUGGUGCAUCAGAUUUGCAUUGCUUGUGAUAACUUUCUUGAUUUGAGAGAAAAUAAUAUGUUGCAUAUGCUUAACCAUUUUGAUAUGACCUCCAAUAUUGGUGUUGAUUAUUUGCCAAUUAGUUCUUUACACGAUUGUUUGAAUAUUAGUGCUUUGACAUGCUCUAAAUUUCAGCAUCUUGUAAUAACUAAUUUGGGUAACAUUAUUAAUUAUUAUUCUCCAGUGUUGGGAUGGUAUAAUGGUGAGCGGUGCAAACCAAAUACAAGAUAUUGUUUCACUUAUAUAUGCAAAACAUAUUGUCAAUCUUCUUGCUGGAAUGAUAUUCAUGAUGAUUGUGUGACUAAUUAUCUCAUGAGAUUGUGUUAUAAAACAUUAAUUGUGCAACAUGGGAGUGGAGUUAAAAAUAACGAUAUAUACAUAUACCAUGUGCAUACCUUGUCUCUUUUGUUAGCAUAUUUUCAGCAUAAACGACGCCGAGGACGGCUUUCCUUUCAAGAAAGGGAGGAUGAUAUGGACAUGCUAACCAUGGAUACGACCAUUAGAACCCUAAUUGUUGGUGUCUCUAAAGUUAUAAUCAGGUGAAUUCAAUUACAAAAUGUUUUCAAUAUGUUACUUGCAAAGAGGCGGAGCUACUAUCUUGUGUAAUCUUAUUAUGUAGGCAUCUUAUUGAACUUUACAAGUCCAAAGUGAAGAUGAAGUGUUAUAGCCUGCAAAGGGAGAUUCAAAGUGAAGCCUAUCAAGUGUACUUUCCAACAAAUCAAACGGCACAUGAUUCGGAGCUUGCUAGAGAAAGAUAUCACGAAUUAAAGUUGAAUCCGAUUCGGGUCCGAGCUGUCAGGAGACCCGAAUUUGUUUUAAUCACCCAGGCCGCAUCCGGAGUCCAAAUCAAGCAAACAAGUACUUGUUGGAAAGGUAAUUACAAGACCUUUCCAACGGAUCUGGCCCCAUCAAGAGAUUCGACUCGUGCUGACCGUGGCGGACAAAACAAGCUGACGGAUCUGUUUUUCUGUUAGCUAAAGAGUUGUAGUUUGUUAGGAAAGUUAGAGAUAGAGUUGGAUUUCGGACUCCUUAUUCAAGGUGGACGAAAAUAUCUCUCCCUCCUCCUUUAUAUACCCCAUGAGCCCCCUAAGGAGCCUUGGGUUUUGUUUAGUUAAAAGUUAGCCAUUGCUACUACUUCGUGUAAUCGCGUGUGUCGGUUAGACCACCUGUUUUACCGCUUUCGGAACCCCAACUUAUCGUCUCGUUGAGACAUUGGUUUGAUAUAGUAUAUUCGCAAUUUUAGAUUGCAUCCGCUAUUUAUCCGCUAUUUAUACCCCAUGAGCCCCCCUAUGGAGCCUUGGGUUUUGAUUAGAUAAAGUUUAGCCUUUGCUACUUUCGUGUAAUCGCGUGUGUCGGUUAGACCACCUAUUUUACCGUCAUCAAGACUCCAACUAUAUUGAGUAUUCAGAUUCGUGAACCUUCAUAUCUCCUAUUCGCAAUUUCAGAUUGCUUUUCAUCUUGUUCUUGCUUGUUCUUCGAUUGCUUGCAGGAACAAAGACCUUCGUGGUCAGGUUGAUCGUGCCCCCGCGUGAUCAAUAACCCUCUGGAGUUGGUGUAUCGAUUGCUAAGGCGCUGCCUCCUAGGCCGUAGUUGGAUCGUCAACGUCACCUCCUACCCAAAUCGAGAGUUACCAAUCUCAUCGAAAGAUCGGGCCACCCGCACCCGUAUCACCUGUUCUAUUUGUGGAAAAGAAGGACAAGAGCCAACGGAUGUGCAUAGAUUAUCGUUCACUAAAUGAGGUGAUGAUAAAGAAAAAAUACCCCUUACCUAUAAUCAAUGAUCUAUUCGAUCAAUUGAAAGGAGCCUGUGUAUUCUCAAAGAUCGAUCUUCGAUCGGGUUAUUUUCAGUUAAAGAUCCGAGAAGCGGAUAUACCCAAGACAGCCUUUACCACUAGAUAUGGCCUGUAUGAGUAUACGGUGAUGCCUUUUGGAUUGACCAACGCACCGGCAUACUUUAUGAAUAUGAUGAAUAAAGUGUUCAUGGAAUAUUUGGACAAGUUUGUCGUAGUGUUCAUCGACGACAUUUUGAUUUACUCGAAGAGCAAAGAAGAACAUGAAGUACAUUUGCGUCUGAUUAUGGAAAAGCUCAGAGAACACAAGCUUUAUGCCAAAUUCAGCAAGUGUGAAUUUUGGUUGUCCGAAGUAGGUUUCUUGGGACACAUAGUGUCAGGAGACGGAGUUGCUGUUGACCCAGCUAAAGUAGCAGCGGUAACAGAAUGGGAAGCCUCUAAGAACGUCGGUGAUGUUCGCAGUUUCUUAGGACUUGCUGGAUGGAUACUAUAGGAGGUUCAUUGAGAAUUUUUCCAAGAUAGCAAAACCCAUGACUGAACUUUUGAAGAAAGAGAAGAAAUUUGAGUGGUCUGAUAAGUGUGAAGAAAGUUUUCAAGAAUUGAAGAAGAGAUUACUGUCUGCACCCAUCCUUGUUUUACCCAACUUGCUAGAAGAUUUCGAAGUGUACUGUGACGCCUCGCGUCUAAAAUUGGGCUGUGUUUUGAUGCAAGAAGGAAGAGUUGUGGCAUACGCCUCACGACAACUUAAGAGUCACGAAGGAAAUUACCCCACUCAUGAUUUGGAAGUAGCAUCUGUAGUGCACGCACUAAAAACUUGGAGGCACUAUCUCAUGGGAAAGCAUUGUGAAUUAUUCACCGAUCACAAGAGCUUGAAAUAUAUAUUCACGCAGAAGGAAUUGAACUUGAGACCAAGAAGAUGGUUAGAGUUAAUCAAGAAUUAUAAUUUGAAUCUGCAAUACCACCCAGGCAAGGCUAAUGUAGUAGCCGACGCUUUAAGCCGUAAAGGCUAUGUCAAUGGUCUUACAGCUGGAGAGUUACCCUCCGAGUUGUGCGAACAAUUCAAGGACUUCAGAUUGGAGAUAGUCCUGGAAGGUUAUCUGGCUAACUUGGAAGUACAACCCACCUUGUUGGACAGAAUUAGAGAAGCCCAGAAAGGCGACUCCGAAAUUAAGUAGAUAAAGGAUAAUAUGGUUGCCGGAAAGGCGAAAUGAUUCAUUGAGGAUGACCAAGGUACCAUAUGGUUUGAGAAAUGUAUUUGUGUACCACAGGACCCUGAGAUCAGAAAGUUUAAUACUUCAAGAGGCUCACGAUUCACCGUACUCGAUUCACCCUGGGAACACAAAAAAGUACAUGGACUUGAAAGAAAGAUUUUGGUGGACAGGGUUGAAGCGAGAUAUCGCUGAGUCUAUUGCUCUAUGUGAUGUAUGUAACAAAGUCAAGGCUGAACAUCAGAAACCAGCUGGAGUACUACGACCAUUGCCAGUGCCAAACUGGAAAUGGGAUAAAGUAGGCAUGGAUUUCAUCACCGGCUUGCCGAGGACAAGGUCUGGUUAUGAUUCGAUAUGGGUAGUAGUUGACCGUUUGACAAGGGUUGCUCAUUUCAUACCUGUGAAGACCACUUAUACAAGUGCUCAGUUGGCCAAACGCUACAUGCCUAGAAUUGUGUGCCUACAUGUUGAUAUGGACAUGCUAACCAUGGAUACGACCAUUAAAACCCUAAUUGUUGGUGUCUCUAAUAACAAUUAUAAUCAGGUGAAUUCAAUUACAAAAUGUUUUCAAUAUGUUACUUGCAAAGAGGCGGAGCUACUAUCUUUACAAGUCCAAAGUGAAGAUGAAGUGUGAUAGCCUGCAAAGGGAGAUUCAAAGUGAAGCCUAUCAAGUCUACUUUCCAACAAAUCAAACUGCACAUGAUUCGGAGCUUGCUAGAGAAAGAUAUCACGAAUUAAAGUUGAAUCCGAUUCGGGUCCGAGCUGUCAGGAGACCCGAAUUUGUUUUAAUCACCCAGACCGCAUCCAGAGUCCAAAUCAAGCAAACAAGUACUUGUUGGAAAGGUAAUUACAAGUCCUUUCCAACGGAUCUAGCCCCAUCAAGAGAUUCGACUUGUGCUGACUGUGGCGGACAAAACAAGCUGACGGAUCUGUUUUUCUGUUUCUUAAAGAGUUGUAGUUUGUUAGGAAAGUUAGAGAUAGAGUUGGAUUUCGGCCUCCUUACUCAAGGUGGACGAAAAUAUCUCUCCCUCCUCCUUUAUAUACCCCAUGAGCCCCCUAAGGAGCCUUGGGUUUUGAUUAGAUAAAGUUUAGCCAUCUUUGCUACUUUCGUGUAAUCGUGUGUGUCGGUUAGACCACCUGUUUUACCGUCGUCAAGACUCCAACUUAUCGUCUCGUUGAGACAUUGGUUUGAUAUAAUAUACUCACAAUUUUAGAUUGCAUCCGCUAUUUAUCUUGUUCUUGCUUGUUCUUCGAUUGCUUGCAGGAACAAAGACUUUCGUGGUCAGAUUGAUCGUGCCCCCGCGUGAUCAAUAACCCUAUGGAGUUGGUGUAUCGAUUGCUAAGGCGCUGCUUCCUAGGUCGUAGUCGGAUCGUCAACGUCACCUCCUACCCAAAUCGAGAGUUAGCAAUCUCAUCGAAAGAUCGGGCCACCCCGACCCACAUCACGUGGUAUCAGAGCUUAAGGUUGCUCGGUGAGAUUUUUCCAGUUUAUCCGUAGUUUAGAUCAAUUUUUACCUAUCGUCCAGAAAAAGCCAAACAAACAUUAGAAUUAGUUACCUUGUCCUAGAGCCAAUCUGAGCCUUGCAAUUUUCACAUUAGUAUUUGCAUUGUUGAAUCUUUGUUGCAUUAAUCGUGUCGAGUUGCUGGAUUAGAUUGGAUCGUUUUUCAGAUUUUUUCUACUAGAUCGAACUUGUUUUUGGUUUUCUUGUUCUUCGUGUGAGGCAGGUUUCCUUCAUCAAUAUUCCGCCGCCAAACUUCCUGCCACACCACCGCCAUAAUCUCCCGUCGCCACCAUAUCUUCCACCGAGUCCUUCUUCGAGUCCUACACCGUGUCCCUCGUCAAGUCCUACACCGUGUCCCUCUUCGAGUCCUACAUCGAGUCGGCAAGUUAUAGUUUUCAGCCGCGAGUCCGAGUCCGAGUCCAAUCAAGAGUGCUUUUGGAAAAUGUUUCAUAAUAGAUCGAAUUUUCUUUAGAGAUCAAGUUGUUCGGAAAGUUGUGAAAAAAAAGAAAGGAAAGAAAAUAAAAGGAAAGAAAGAAAAAAAAAACGAAAAAAAAGAGAAAGAGUUCGAGUCAGUUUCUCGGACCCGAGUCCGAGUAGAAUUUUAGUUUCGGGUGGGUUUGACCCGUGUUCAGUAAAACGGACAUAUCUUUUGCGUACCAACUCGGAUUUGGACGUUCUUGGACUUUUUGCAAAGCUCACGACAAGGUGCAUCAGGAAAUAUCCAGGAGUUUGCCCUGCACUUUGACCCUCAAAUUCGGUUUAUAAGGUGGACUUUCGGAGCUUCCAAGUUUCUGCAUCCGUUUUUCGGCGUCGCUGCAGCCCGGUGUUUUUCAGUUUUCUCCACCGUCCGACAUCCGUUUUGAGUCAUCUUGCCCUUGCUGGAAAGUUUGUGUCGAUACGCUUCUAACCCAUAUUUUUCCAUAUUUUUCUGAAUUUUCCUUACUGCAGCCUUUGCUGUUCUUCGAUAGACCGACAUAUAAUUUUCCGGUCCUUCUUUUGCGUGAGUUUCUGAGGUUAAAAAAAAGAAAAAAGAAUAAGAAGCCAAACAGAAGGCCACAAAAAGAAAAAGAAAAAAAAUCCCAGGGAUUUACUUGUUGUGCCAUCUUUUGAUCUAUCUAUUUCUACCUUUUUCAGUAUCUAGGCUUAGAUUAUUUCUGUAAUUCGUUUUUUUCGACUCCAGCAGCUAGGACUAGCAUUAUUGAGCAUAUUUUCAACUUCGCAUUGCUGAUUUGAUUAUUUGCUAUUCCUUGCUACUCACAAAAGCCUCCAAGCUCCACAGAUUCUACACCUAGGUUGUUUGUUACUGAGGCAUCGAUACAUUUAAUAUUCGGAGGGCUUGGUCAUCCCGCUGGCCAUCACCUUCCUGUUUUGCAUGGUAAGAACUUGAUUUUUAGCUUGAGAGUUGAGCGACUUGUAGCCAAUAAUUGUUGAUAGGAACAUAUUCCUGUGUUUUGUUUCUUGUCUUAUACCUAACCAUGACAGGACUUACACGAAGGAUGGAAAAUACGCUUAUGCUAUCAAGCGACCGACAUGAGCGUUUUUCACCACAUCCAUCCUCCUCGUCUCUUGUUGACAUUGGCAAGGCAAAGGUAUAUCGCAAUCCUUGUAAUGUCAAUAAUUGUUUUGGACCUUUCUUUGAUGGAAAGAAUGAUGUUGAAGCUUAUAUUGAUUAGGAAAUAGCUCUAAUUGAGCAAUUCACAUGCUUCCAUGUACUAGAUAGUCGUAAGGCCCAAAUUGCUAGUAGUAGAUUUCGUUUUGAUGCAUUAUCAUGGUGGAGUGAGAUAGUUAGAGAAAACAAAAUACCUCACACUUGGAUUUAUAUGAAGAAAAUCAUGAGAGAAAAAUAUUUUCCUCCAAGUUAUGCUUAUGAGUUGCGUUCCAAAUUACGACGUUUGACACAAGAUGAUACACCAACUCCACAGGGUUAUUGAUCACACGGGGGCACAAUCAACCUGACCACGAAGGUCUUUGUUCCUGCAAGCAAUCGAAGAACAAGCAAGAACAAGAUAAAUAGCAGAUGCAAUCUAAAAUUGCGAGUAUACUAUAUCAAACCAAUGUCUCAAUGAGACGAUAAGUUGGAAUCUUGACGACGGUAAAACAGGUGGUAUAACCGACACACGCAAUUACACGAAAGUAGCAAAGAUGGCUAAACUUUAUCUAAUCAAAACCCAAGUCUCCUUAGGGGGGCUCAUGGGGUAUAUAAAGGAGGAGGGAGAGAUAUUUUCGUCCACCUUGAGUAAGGAGGCUGAAAUCCAACUCUAUCUCUAACUUUCCUAACAAACUACAACUCUUUAAGAAACAGAAAAACAGAUCUGUCAGCUUGUUUUGUCCGCCACAGUCAGCACGAGUCGAAUCUCUUGAUGGGGCCAGAUCCGUUGGAAAGGACCUGUAAUUACCUUUCCAACAAGUACUUGUUUGCUUGAUUUUGACUCCGGAUGCGGCGUGGGUGAUUAAAACAAAUUCGGGUCUCCUGACAGCUCGGACCCGAAUCGGAUUCAACUUUAAUUCGUGAUAUCUUUCUCUAGCAAGCUCCGAAUCAUGUGCCGUUUGAUUUGUUGGAAAGUAGACUUGAUACGCUUCACUUUGAAUCUCCCUUUGCAUGCUAUCACACUUCAUCUUCACUUUGGACUUGUAAAGUUCCAUAAGAUGCCUACAUAAUAAGAUUACACAAGAUAGUAGCUCCGCCUCUUUGCAAGUAACAUAUUGAAAACAUUUUGUAAUUGAAUUCACCUGAUUAUAAUUGUUAUUAGAUACACCAACGAUUAUGGUUCUAAUGGUCGUAUCCAUGGUUAGCGUGUCCAUAUCACAAAGCCCCGUGCUACGACAUCUGGCGCGCCAAGCAGGGGGCACAUGAGGAGAGCUCGCCGGUGACCGCCGGUGCCGUCGUCUAUGUCGACAUCAGCCUUGUCUACUCCAACAGCGGAGCCAACCACCAUGCCCCCUAAGCGGGCUAGUGACCCCCGGAUCGAUCCGCGUGAAGCCCCAGCGGCACACACGCGGUCGCAUGACGCGCAGCCCGCUUCACGGGCUCAGGAAAAUCCUGAGCCCUCACGAGCGCAGCAGUCGCCGCUGCCCCCCCCCCCCGCCUCCUCGGCCGUCGGUAGACAACCGGCUGAGGGGGCCGGCGGCUCCCAGUUGUAAGACCCCGGGACCGGAAUUAUAAAAUUUAGGCCCAAAUUGCUAACCUUUGCAUAAUUCAAGCCUCAGGUUCUUAACCUACGAUAAACACCUCAAUACAUACACGCAUUAAUGCGCUCAUCGCAGGAUUUUGCAACAUGAAUAUCAUUACCAAAACUCUACAGAAGAGAGUAAUUACAAAGCUCAUACAAGGUGAUACGGGUGCGGGUGGCCCGAUCUUUCGAUGAGAUUGGUAACUCUCGAUUUGGGUAGGAGGUGACGUUGACGAUCCGACUACGGCCUAGGAGGCAGCGCCUUAGCAAUCCAACUCCAAAGGGUUAUUGAUCACGCGGGGGCACGAUCAACCUGACCACGAAGGUCUUUGUUCCUGCAAGCAAUCGAAGAACAAGCAAGAACAAGAUAAAUAGCGGAUGCAAUCUAAAAUUGCGAAUAUACUAUAUCAAACCAAUGUAUCAACGAGACGAUAAGUUGGGGUUCCGAAAGCGGUAAAACAGGUGGUCUAACCGACACACGCGAUUACACGAAGUAGUAGCGAUGGCUAACUUUUAACUAAACAAAACCCAAGGCUCCUUAGGGGGGCUCAUGGGGUAUAUAAAGGAGGAGGGAGAGAUAUUUUCGUCCACCUUGAGUAUGGAGUCCGAAAUCCAACUCUAUCUCUAACUUUCCUAACAAAUUACAACUCUUUAGGAAACAGAAAAACAGAUCCGUCAGCUUGUUUUGUCCGUCACGGUCAGCACAAGUCGAAUCUCUUGAUGGGGCCAGAUCCGUUGGAAAGGUCUUGUAAUUACCUUUCCAACAAGUACUUGUUUGCUUGAUUUGGACUCCGGAUGCGGCCUGGGUGAUUAAAACAAAUUCGGGUCUCCUGGUAGCUCGGACCCGAAUCGGAUUCAACUUUAAUUCGUGAUAUCUUUCUCUAGCAAGCUCCGAAUCAUGUGCCGUUUGAUUUGUUGGAAAGUACACUUGAAAUCCUUCCCUCUCAGCUGUAUGAAUACUUGAUUCUUGUUGGCCCUCCCGUUCGCCUCCACCGUAUCUCAUCUUGACCUUGGACUUGAAAAGCUCGACAAGAUGCCUACGUAAUAAAACGAGACAAGAUAGUAGUAGCUCCGCCUCUUCAUAAGUAUGACAAUGAAAACAAUUACUACUUGAAUUCACCUGAUUAUAAAUCUUGUCAAAUAUUAUAGAAUUGAGGGUACCAAAGGUCGUAUCCAUGGUUAGCAUGUCCAUAUCACAAGGAGCAGAAUAACAAUUAUUACAAAGAGAGGACACAUGUCCCAACAUUACAUCAUUACAUCAGCGGAAGUCGUCCAUAACCGCGGACACGGCUUUCCGAAAGAUUUGUCCCUGCAGGAUGUGCCAAUUUACCCGUACACGUUCGUCCAACCCUUGUUGCCACUCGAGUAGGAACACACAAAGACGUGUGUUGGCAGGAUUGGGCGACACGACGUUUCCAAGCCUCACAACUAAUCCAGGGGACCACCCAACUGAGUCUAAUCCGAAACGAGAGCCCGGCCGAAGCGUCGUACGGACACAAGAGUUGCGAGGACAGCUGGUAGUGGUUCAGGGCCCGCAGGAUGACCACUCCAGACUAGUGCCGCAGUCCUAUAUGAAUGCAAAGACACCAACAAGUCUCCACUAAUCUGUGUGUGUAUGCAAUGCAAAUGCCAAAUGGAACACCCGAACUAUGUGGCCCCUGGAAGAGCUAUGAAACGAGUACUAAGCCGAGGGGAAACCCAUAUAUUCUCCCACGAACGGUUAGCACGAAGUUUCUUUGAUCGGCGAAAACGAGAACUCAGUCCUUAGGUCGGCGCAAAUGGAACAAAUCACCAAUGCGUUAGAGCACGGCCUCCCAUCGUUGCCUUGUUACAGUUUAAUAUCAUAUCACAGUUUAAUAUUUGAUAUUUAAAUACAGGAAGUAGCAUGUGGAUGUAGCAAUUGUGGAACCCCAGAUAUAAGGACACUAGACUCGCAACUAAGCAUGACAUCUAAUGACCAACUAGGGCAACAAGCAAACAUGUGACAUGACAUGGUAUUAGGACAAGUAACAAGACAUAGGGCAAUAAGUAGAGCUGACUAAUAAGCUAUGCAACCUAGAGGCAUCGUGACAAGACUGAGAUCGUAAAUUAAUGCAAGAUUGAGGGAGAAGCAAUAGGUACAAUCAACAUGGUCAAGGAAGAGCUGCUUGCCUGGAGUACUCAAUUGCCCGGAAUUGAGCAAGAAUCCUGGAAAAAGAACACAAGUGUAAUCGUCGUCGUAGGAAUCGAAGACUAGCGAGGAAGAAGCAAAUACACCACAUAAAAGGAAAGUAUAAGCAUACAAGAUACACAUGGUAAUUCUAAAUGCGCAAUCAAAGAAUGAUGCGUGACAUAGGGAUGAUGCAUGUCAUAUUAAGGAUCUCGAAAGUAAAUCCGAUAUACGAUUACCAAGUUAAAUGGAGUCCGAAUAAUCUAGACAUAGCAUCUAUACAACUCCAUAUGCAGGAAAUAGAGUUUAAUUGAUCAAUUACACACAAUAAUAUUAUAGUUGUAUUAGGAUGCAUGGCAAUGAUGUGAAUAGGUGCAAUACACGAUUUAACAACAACACAAAUAACCGACAAGGUCGGAGUUGCACACACUAAUGGAAACAAGGUACCUGCAUCUAUCGAUAUUAUCGGUACAUACACGGCAUCUCAUACAACACAUGCAUAUCGACAAUCGCAACCUACAGGUCUACGUCGAAGAACGGUGGUCUCACGGGACGAUCGCACGUUAUACCUUAGACACGUGCGGCGUCGCGAUGUAGACGAAGUAGUCGACGUAGUCGAGGUAGUCGUACACGUAGGCGAUGUAGUCGUCGCGGCGAAGUAGUCGUUCACGGGACCGGCUCGGAGGUUCGAGGCGAUGUUGGUCUCCAUGGUGCCGAUGAUGUGUGGCAGCAACACGUUCAGCAGCGAGGCGUCUCGACGCGGAGCAGUGGCAACAGCAAGCGGCUGACAGGCACGGCCCACACAUCAGGCAUCAAUUUCUAGAAAAAGAAGAAAAACAAAGGAAAAGAGGGCACGGGCCUGGGCUUGCUGGGCUUGGAGAUGGGCCAAGGAGGAGGGAGCUGGGCUUGGCUUCGAGUGGGCGGGGGAGGAGGUGCACGGGGGCAGGGCAGCAGCACAAAGCUUGGCGGCGAUCGAUAGCGUGGGCGGCCACGGUGACCGCGUGGAGGCGCUGGUUAGUGUCGCGGUGGAGGCGGAGCAGGGAGCUCGCUGUGGGGAGCGAGGAGAGGCGGCGCCGUGCUUGGGGAAGGGGAGGCACGCGGUGAGGCGGUUGCGGGUAGGCGCGGGAGCGAGGGCGGCCAUGGGAGGAGGGAGAAGGAGGAGGGCGGAUCGAGGCGCCCGGAGCAGAGGAGGAAGGGAGGCCAUGGGAGGAGCUCGCACGGGGAAGAAGGAAGAAGACGGCGGCGGCUUGGAGGAAAAAAAGGGAAGAAAGAAAAAGAAAUAGAGAAAGAAGGGAAUGGGAUUAAAAGGUAGGGUUAGGGUUUGGCUUAAUGGGCUUUUGGGCCAACAAAAGCCUCAAACAAAAGACAGGUUUUGCACGUUUAGGUUUUUGCAAUAAAUAAGACAAGAGACGAGUGGUCUUAUUAAACCGGAAUUAAUUUUUCAAACUCAAAUUACAUUUUCUAUAAAAAUAAUUUUAGGCUUUUAGAAACACAACAAAAAGACAAGCACACGACAACACAAAAGAAGUGACAUUUUGUGCAAACGAAAUGUGAGAUGAUGCUAAUGACAUGGCAACAUGUUAAUGAUGACAUGAGCAUGACAACAUGAUGACAAUAAACAAAUUACAAAACAGUCCAAAAGGGCUUAAAAGGAAAAGGGUUGCUCUCGGGAUGUUACACCAGUGUCGGGGCCAGUCGCGCGAGGGGCCACGGUUGAGUCGCGGGUUGAAGAUGCGCAGCGGCGGCUGCGCCACGAGCAUGCCGCGUCGCGAGCGACGCCGACGGGCUCGCACCCCCCUCACCCGGGUGCGCCAGGGGAUAGGGCGGAGGGCAGCCGGUCGGAGAAUCGGUUGCCCCCAGCCCAAACCCCGGUAGAAGCCAUCAUCGCCGCGCGGGUCAUGGUGCGGUACGAGCCACAGCAGGGCACGCCGGCAAACGAAGCAUGGAGUGCGGAGUUGGACGCACUCCUCGCGCUCGCCGCCCCACAGACGCAAGGCGAGGGCGCCCCGACAGGCUCAAGCCGCGAGCAAAACCCUGGGCGCAGAGACGCGCCCCGCGGCUCGCGGCAGGGAGAGAACCCUCCCCCGCAGGGAGGGCAAGGAGGCAGGGAUCCUGAGGGGUCCUCGGACUCGUCACCCACCGUCACACAAGGUGACGCGCGCGGGAUCUUGAAUGCCUGCCAGCAGGAGGACCUGCGCCCGUGUCUGGGGCGCCGGCGCUGGCGCGCCAUGGAGCGCUAGGACCCGCAGGAGCAGGAGGAUGCUCCUAUGGGCCCUGAGGACGGCUGCACCGCGUUCACGCGCGAGCUGCGGCAGGUGACAUGGCCUCGCAAGUUCCGAGCGCCCGCGCUCGGUAGGUACGAUGGGACUGUGAAUCCCAAAGAUUUCCUCCAGACCUACACGUUGGAGAUGCAUACUAUCGGCGCCGAUGACAAGGUCAGAGCCAACUGGUUCCAGAUGGUCCUUAAGGGAUCAGCGAGAACCUGGCUGCUCAACCUGCCUGCUGGGUCCAUCGCCACUUGGGCGGACCUGCGCGAGCAGUUCGUGAGCGCGUUCCAGGGCGGCUACAAGCGCCCGGGAACCAUGGCGGAACUGCACACCGUGAUGCAGAAGCCGGGAAAGACGUUGCAUAGCUUCGUCAACCGCUUCUCCGACCUCUCCUACUCCAUCCAGGAGGCGGAGGCCACUGCCAUCGUCAACACCUUCGCCAUCAACGUCCUCGACCCCAAAAUGCGCGAGAAGCUGAGCACGCAUCGAAUCCGGACGACGCAGGAUCUGUACGCCCUGGCACACAAGUGUGCCAUGACCGAGGAAGGGCGCUUGGCGCCCGAGCUCGCAGAAAAAGAGCUCCCGGAAGCGUAGCGGGAAGCAAGUUCUCUCCGCAGAGUCAGGGGCUACCGCGAGGCCUGCGAAAAAUGCCUCAUCUGGUGGCAGGUCUGGCAGCAAGCCGGGCGACACGUCCCGCUGCCCCAUCCACGCCAACGCCACCCAUGACGCGCAGGACUGCCGCAUCCUGCAGGGUAUCAAGCAGCGGUGCGAGCAGCGCCACGAGGAGCGCCGAACAGCGGGCGCCUGCUUCAACUGCGGCGACAUCGGGCAUCUCUCCCGAGAUUGCCCGAACGACCCCAGAGCGGGGCCGAAGCCUGCCGGCGGCGGUGCUGACAGGGAGGAAGCCCAGGGGGGACGCGGUCAGGCCCGCGCCGGCAGGGAGCGCCCUCCCCGGGGACGAGACCGGGCUCGCCCAGAGGAGCAGCGCGAGUCCGACUGCACCGGGGGCGACGAGCCCGGCUUUCAGGAGCCCCGCGGCGUCGCCUAUCCAUGGGGGAGCUUACGCUCUCUCAUCCCACGCCACGGUGAAGCGCCUCACCCGGGUGGUGUGUGCGCUGUUGCCGGAUGCGGAGCCGCAGCAGCCGCUGAAGUGGUCGCUUGUCCCGAUCACCUUCAGCGCCGACGAUCACCCAGCGUGGCAGCUGGGUCCAAGGGUCAUACCCUUCGUGGUCUCACCGAUCAUCAACAACAUGACGGUGACCAAGGUGCUGGUGGACAACGCAGAGGGGCUGAACCUCCUGUCCGCCAGGUUAGUGGAGAAACUCCAGUUGCUGGUGGAGCAACUGAAGCCCACUGACCCGUUCCGGGGAGUAAACCCCGGGAUCGUGCACCCCUUGGGGCGCAUCACGCUGCCGGUGACCUUCGGGUCCCGGGAAGCGUUCAGGACCGAGCACGUAGUGUUUGACGUCGCGCACACUCCGUUGCCCUACAACGGGAUCCUUGGUUGGCCGGCGCUGAUCAAGUUCAUGGCGGCGACUCAUUGCGCCUACGGCGUGAUGAAGAUGACGUCCGUGUAUGGAGUCCUCUUCAUCAGGUGCGACCUCAAGGACGCAGCGAGGUCGUUAGGGCCGCCGCCGCAGCCGACGCCGGUGACGACGACGUUGCUGGGAGUGAAGGAUCGCCGGGCGAUGGCCCGACAACUAAAAAGGGCCGCGCUGCCCCGCAAGAGCUUGCCGGGGGAGGCGCAGGCUCUAGCUCAUGCCCCGGCAAGGGCCAGAAGCUCCAGGAGGAGGCCGCCAAGGUGAAGAAGCUGCCCCUCCAAGCCGGCAAUGAAGAGCGCACCGUCACCGUCGGUGCAAACCUCACUACCGAAUAGGAAAGCGCCCUCGUCACUUUCCUCCAGGAGAACGCCGAUGUGUUCGCUUGGGAGCCGUCGGAUCUCCCUGGAGUCCCUAGAGAGGUGAUUGAGCAUCGACUCGCGGUGUGCCAGACGCCCGCCCCAUCAAGCAGAAGAUCCACCGGCAAGCGCAGGAGCGCAAAGAUUUCAUCAAGCAAGAAGUGGACAAGCUCAAAGUUGCGGGGGCUAUCAAGGAAGUACUAUACCCCACUUGGUUAGCUAAUCCUGUUGUAGUGCCCAAGGGGGAAAAUAAACUUCGCAUGUGUGUAGAUUUUACUGAUCUUAACCGUGCGUGUCCAAAAGAUCCUUUCCCUGUACCUCGCAUUGACCAAAUAGUGGAUUCCACUGCCGGUUGCGAUUUGCUGAGUUUUUUGGAUGCAUUUUCCGGCUACCAUCAAAUUAAGAUGGCAGUCGAAGACCAGGAGAAAACAGCGUUCAUCACCCCGGUUGGCUGCUACUGCUACACGUGCAUGCCUUUCGGGUUGAAGAACGCGGGCUCAACAUUCCAGCGUGCGUUGCAUGAGUGUUUGGGACCCAGCUAGGCCGAAACGUAGAGGCUUACAUGAACGAUAUCGUCAUCAAGUCGAAGCGUGGGGACUCACUGAUUGAUGACUUGCGGGAGACGUUUGAUAACCUCUGCAGGAUCAAACUCAAGCUUAACCUUGAGAAGAGUACCUUUGGUGUAGACUCGGGCCAGUUUCUAGGUUUCUUGGUUUCGCACGAGGGGAUUCAAGCCAAUCCAAAGAAGAUAGAAGCUAUCGAGAAAAUGGAGGCUCCCCACAAGGUGAAGGACGUCCAGCGCCUCAACGACUGCGUUGCCGCGCUGGGCCGCUUCAUCUCAAGGUUGGGCGAACGCGCCCUACCUUUCUUCAAGGUAAUGAAGAAGAAGGGCUCAAUAGAUUGGACCCCCGAGGCCGAGGCGGCGUUCCAGGAUCUCAAGCAGUACCUGAAAUCGCCACCCGUCCUCGUCGCCCCCAAGCCGGGCGAGCCGCUGCUACUCUACCUAGCGGCGACUGACCAAGUGGUCAGCUCGGUGCUGGUUGUCGAGACAGAGGAGGACAUCCCGGGAGCUAAGGUCGCGGGGCAGGGGGCUGAGCGGCCCCCGGCAACCGUCUCGGACCCGGGGACCGCCCUCGAGCUGGCAGCGUCAGCACCACGCAAGCGGCUCGUGCAGCACCCUGUGUACUUCGUCAACAUGCUGCUGCGCGACGCCCGCACGAGGUAUCCGCAGGUGCGAAAGCUCCUGCUGGGAUUCUGCUUGCGUCACACAAGCUGCGCCACUACUUCUAGGCGCACCGCGUCACGGUGGCGUCGGUGUUCUGCCUCGAGCGAGCCCUCACCGACCGUGAAGCCACCGGUAGGGUGGCCAAGUGGAGGAUGGAGCUGUCGGAGUUUGAUCUGCGCUUCACCAACACCAAGAGCAUCAAGAGUACGGCCCUGGCGGACUUCAUCGCAGAAUAGACUUCGACGGGCAUAGAAGAGGAGGAGCCGGAGACCAGCCUGCCGGGCAAGCUGGACGAAGGCCACUGGAUCCUGUACUUCGACGGUGCGUUCAGCCUCCAGGGAGCCGGCGCCGGGGUCGCCAUCGAGUCGCCGACGGGAGAUCAGUUGAGGUUUGCCAUCCAACUCGAUUUCCCCAACUCCACUAAAACUACGGUAGAGUAUGAAGGGCUGCUCGCCGGGUUGCCGGCGGCAAUCACUCUGGAUAUCAAGCGUCUGGUCGUUCGCGGGGACUCCCAACUCGUGAUCAAUCAGGUUAACAAGGACUACGACUGCCCGCAGAUGGAAGCCCCCCCCCCCCCCCGGCAACCGAAGGAAACCUCGCAACAGUGGGGGUCCAUGCCGCCGAUGUAGCGGCAUGCGUAAGCAGAGAAACACCGCCUUGAGCGGUCGAUAUAGCCGGCUACCUGAAGGGAGAAGCCCUCUAAAAGGGAAACCUUGCCCCUGUAUGGGUUUUGAUGAAUGAUGACAACAUGGUUGAGGAACUAAUGAGUUACACAGAGUGUUUUAGGUUUUAGUUCCUCAGAAGAGUUGGUUUAACCAGCAUCGAUGACCCCUAAAAAUUGAAGUACAUGUACUGGCACGAAGUAUGAAGAACUCAGUGAAGAACGUGAAGCAUAGCAUUCUUCAUAAGUCUUUCCGUAGCGUUUUCCUUCACUUGAGUAUAGGAACGCCGUACUAUUAAGGGGGGUUUGAAGUGUGGAGCUUGUAUAGGUGAAACCUAUUCUGCAUGUUCAGCUUAGGCGAAAACCAUUUUAUGUGUGAGUGUUUUUCAUCGGAGUGAAGAAUGAAGCAUUUCAGGCUUCACAGAAACUUCCACGUGAAGUCUUCACUCUGAGUUCAAAUGUGUUUGAAAUUCUGUCGCUUUCGUGCUUGACCACCUAAUCUAACCGUUGUAAGACAAAGUGAUAAAGUGUGAGCUAGAGGCUCAAACUUCACUUUAUCCAACGGGUCACAAUAGCUAGAUCAGCCAUCGCCAAGGCUAUAUAAGACGACCCACCCCGAAGGAAUUCGGUGGUGAUCCCCAGUAAGUUGUUUUGAAGAACGCCUGAUAAAACCCUUAGAACUGAACUGAUCAUGAAGAAUGGGAUCCCCUCUCUAGCCGAGCACUUGAAACUUGUUACUCUUGGUGAUUGGCAUCACCUAGACGGCUAUGAGUCAGUGUUGAAAAGCAAUCGAAGAUUGUGAUUUCCCAUCAACCAGUCUGUGAAGGUCUGGAGAUCACCUCAAGAUCUACCACGAGUAACUGGGCGAGAGUUCGGCCUUAGCUCAGGAGGAUUGGGUGGACUUGUGUGUCCGCGAGUCUUGUGUGACUCAGCCCCCUCAACGGAGACGUAGGAUUGUGCCAACAAUCUGAACUUCGGAAACAAAUCCCUGUGUCUUCAGUCUUGGUGAUUUCGUUCCUCAACUUUUGCUCUCUGUGAAGAAUAACUAUUUCAUUGUGUUCUGUCUUCAUUGCUGCUGCUAAACCUGUUCAUCUUUCUUCUUUCCGCUCCAACUUUAAAAUUGAUAAAUGUAAUCUAAAUUGUUGAAGUACUGUGACUGUCUUCAGUCUUCAGUCUUCAUUUUGAAGAAAAUUAAAAAUGGUCACAUUCACCCCCCUCUGUGACAUACUCGAUCUUUCACUUGGUAUCAGAGCGAGGCUUUCUUGUUUUGGUUUAACCACCUGAGGAAGAAGUAUGUCUAAGGAAGGGAAGCUACCUGUUCUUAGCAGCACCAAUUAUGCUUUUUGGAAAAAUCGCAUUAAGACUCACAUCAUAUCUACUGACCCUUGUGCUUGGGAAGCAGUCACAAAUGGCUUUGUUGUUUCUCAGGGACCCAUCUCUGGAUAUGACUCUAUCUCUCUGAAGAAGUAUCAAGCAAAUGCCAAAGCUUGUGAUAUCAUCUUCUCAACUGUCAAUGAUGGUGAGUUCAACAAGAUUAGCAAUCUUACUGAUGCAAAGAAGAUCUGGGAUCUUCUCGCUGAAGUCCAUGAAGGGACAACCACUGUAAAAUAUUCCAGAGUUACUCGCCUCAUCAAUCAGUUUGAUCUUCUCAUGCUUGAGCCCAAUGAGACCGUUUCUGCACUCUACGAUCGCAUGAGCACCAUCGUGAACGAGCUGAAUACUCUCGGUGAUCACAAUAUCACCGACUUGAUGGAAAACAGAAGGUUUCUUCGAGCUCUUCCCAUGGAGUACACCACUGUCUGUGAGCUCUUCACGCGGAAGUUUCUGUGAAGCCUGAAAUGCUUCAUUCUUCACUCCGAUGAAAAACACUCACACAAAAAAUGGUUUUCGCCUAAGCUGAACAUGAAGAAUAGGUUUCACCUAUACCAGCUCCACACUUCAAACCCCCCUUAAUAGUACGGCAUUCCUAUACUCAAGUGAAGGAAAACGCUAUGGAAAGACUUAUGAAGAAUGCUAUGCUUCACGUUCUUCAUUGAGUUCUUCAUACUUCAUGCCAGUACCUGUACUUCAAUUUUUAGGGGUCAUCGAUGCUGGUUAAACCAACUCUUCUGAGGAACUAAAACCUGAAACACUCCGUGUAACUCAUUAGUUCCUCAACCAUGUUGUCAUCAUUCAUCAAAACCCAUCCAGGGGCAAGGUUUUCCUUUCAAUCUCCCCCUUUUUGGUGAUUGAUGACAACACUGGUUAAAGCUUCAAAGAUGGGAAAAAUUAAGUGUGAAGGUUUUAGCUUCUGAGUUAUACGAAGACUCCCCCUAAAGAUAUGCACUAUUUAGAUUGCGUUUGAAUGCAAGUGCAAAGAGUUUUAGGAGUGUGAGGAAAUCUUCAUAUUCUUCAGAAGCAAGGGUGUGCAUCGUGUACAAUGUUAGAGCAGAAAUAAUUAGAAUUCAUACAUGCUCACAAAUUGAAGCAAACAGAUGCAGCACAAAUAUUGAAGUAAGCAUGGAUGCAUGAUGAACGAAAAUGCAUGAAAAUUAAAUUUAUUAUAGACAUUUCAGAAUCCUCUUGCAAGAGGCAAUAUUAAGUGUACUUCAACACAACCAUUAAAAAAAAAUUCAACCACGAACGAUAGGACUUAAAGUUUUCAGACGACGAAGAACCAGAUAAAAAGCAAAACUCCCCCUGCAGCAAAAAGCGAAACCUCCCCCUGACUCCUUCUUCCCCUUUGGCAUCAAGACAGCAAAAAGGUUGAAGACUACUGGCUUGGUGUAGCUUCGCUGUCUUCAGGCUUCAGAACGUCGGAGUAGUGCUUGGCGAGGAAGUCUUGAAGUAAGCCAUUGGUCUUCUCUUCACGGGACACCAGCUUCUUGAGGAGUACUUGGUGAUUCUUCAACAGAGCGGCCUGCUUCUCAAGGAGAUCCUGCUGAUCUUCAAUCUUGCAGGAGAGCUUCACAACGAGAUUCUUCAAGGAACCAUCCAUGCCAGAGCUGGUCUCAUACUGAGAGUCAGAUGUACGAAGUGCUUGCUUCAGCUGCGGUUGUGACAGGAUGGGCAAUGAAGACUCCGGGCGAUCAGAUACUGAGGCAGGAGGAAGCACAGACGGCUCUGGAUCUUGAGGCUUCAACGAAAAGUACUUGUGCUGAUGCUCCAACUCAAAGCGCUUCUCAGACAACUGCAGGAUGAUCUUCAUAAUCUGGGGUGCAUAGGGCAGGGCACACACACGGUCUGCUGAGGCAUGGGUGAUGGUCUGAAGAAUAUAGUCUCCAAAAUCUUUCUUCUCACCUUUGGAGGUGCAAGCAACAAAUUGCGGUGAAGACCGGCUAUCUCACGGGAGCUGCCUUGCUUGGGAGAGAGAAUGAAACGGAGAAUGUCAUUGAUAAUCUUCACUUCAGGCUUCAACCCAGCCAGUCCUCCAUAGGCGCCAGAAAAUCCUUCUUCAUAGAGAAUGGCAAUGUCUUCAUCUGAGUCAGCCUGUUCUUCAUGGAUCUUGGGUUGGCCAUCGAACUCAGCGAGACCAAGGAAAUCCUUGAAGUGCCUGUCACCAUCUGUCAUCCAAUAGAUGUUGUAGCCCUUUGAGUUUUUUUCAAAUCUGCAGACCUUUCUGCGAAAGUAGCAUAGAACUGAAGCAUCUGCUCAUCAUUCCAAUUCUGGCAAGUCUGAACAAACUUGAGCAGAGCAUAUCAUUAAGAGCAUUCGCAGCAGUCAUGACAUCACUCUGACGAUUGGUGGCGAACCAUUCAUCAUUGAUGUACUUCAUCUUGGCAAAGUGGGUCCUUGGCAGAAGAAUCUGCGCAUAGUAGUCCUGCUGCUCAAAAGACCAAAACCUCCGGUCUUCAGCUGAUCUCUCCUCAUUGUACUUCAGCCCAUUCUCCAGCCUCACGAGGCGAAGCUUAGCGUUCUUCAGGGCCUUGAAGUAAACCUUCUCUCGGUCAGAGGAUAUUGGCAUCUUUGGCUUGGGAGACAACAGCUCACGGUUGUCUUCAGACAUAGUUUGAGAUCUCAUAAGCAUUCGUGAGAGUCUCCUAUCUUCACUAUCCUUAGCGAGUCCGGAUCGUCUCUUCUUCAGCGCAGGCUUGAGCAGAUCUUCUGGUAGACGGUCAAUCUCCAUUAGAUCAUCAGAGGCUUGCGCGGGGUCUUUCUCUUCUUCCUUCUUCUCUUCUUCCUUCUCUUCUUCUUUCUCCUCAAAACUCGAGGAAUUUGGGUCGGACGGGUCAGAUGGGGCAACAUUCUUCUUCUUCUUAACAACUUUCUUCACACGAACUUCCGGUGUUGGCACUGGGGCAUCUGCAUCAGUUUCUGCGUCAUUUGCAUGCAAAUCACGAGUGGCUUCAGUUUCGAAGUCACAAGUUCUUCCUUCUUCAGAAGAGGCAUCAACUGAUUCAGUGCGAGGCAACGAGCUGCGGGUGGGGGAUUCUUUAGGACGGGUGAGGUCUUCUUGGUUCUUUCCCAGCACCUCAUCUCCUUCUUCCUGUUGAGCGGUGUGCUCAGACAGUACUGUGGGAGAUGAAGCAGCUUGUUCCUAUUCCUCAGCAAGUGAAGUAAGCUUGACUGUUGAUGUAUCUGGCACAAGUGUGUCAAUAGCUUUCUUCAGAGGAACUGCCGCAGAUGAUGAAGUGGAGGAACUUCUUCCGGCGGGAACUUUGAUCUUCAGACCAAACUCCUUGGCAGUCUUCUUCACUUCAGCGAUCUGAGACGCUUGAAGAGUUAUAGUGAUAUUCUUUGAUGGAACAGUCUGAAGUAAAUCUUGACUUUCUUCAGUGUCAGAGGGGGCAGCUGAAUCAUGUCUGGCCUUGAGACCAAUCUCACGACGGGUCUCACGAGCUGCAUCCCUCGUCUUCUCGCACCCUGUCUUCUCCCGAUCAACUUCUUCAUUUCCGCCCUGUACUUCAGGCGUUUUCUCAACGGCUUUCUUCCUUGCUUCACUCUUAGCCUUAUCAGCCUUCAGGCUUUCGGCUGCUUGUUUCAUCUGCUCAGCGAGCAGAGCUUUCUUCUUCUUCUCAAGCUCAGCUUGUGAUACGGGUGCGGGUGGCCCGAUCUUUCGAUGAGAUUGAUAACUCUCGAUUUGUGUAGGAGGUGACGUUGAGGAUCCGACUACGGCUUAGGAGGCAGCGCCUUAGCAAUCGAUACACCAACUCCAGAGGGUUAUUGAUCACGCGGGGGCACGAUCAACCUGACCACGAAGGUCUUUGUUCCUGCAAGCAAUCGAAGAACAAGCAAGAACAAGAUAAAUAGCAGAUGCAAUCUAAAAUUGCGAAUAUACUAUAUCAAACCAAUGUCUCAACGAGACGAUAAGUUGGGGUUCCGAAAGCGGUAAAACAGGUGGUCUAACCGACACACGCGAUUACACGAAGUAGUAGCGAUGGCUAACUUUUAACUAAACAAAACCCAAGGCUCCUUAGGGGGGCUCAUGGGGUAUAUAAAGGAGGAGGGAGAGAUAUUUUCGUCCACCUUGAGUAAGGAGGCCGAAAUCCAACUCUAUCUCUAACUUUCCUAACAAACUACAACUCUUUAGGAAACAGAAAAACAGAUCCGUCAGCUUGUUUUGUCCGCCACGGUCAGCAAAAGUCGAAUCUCUUGAUGGGGUCAGAUCCGUUGGAAAGGUCUUGUAAUUACCUUUCCAACAAGUACUUGUUUGGUUGAUUUGGACUCCGGAUGCGGCCUGGGUGAUUAAAACAAAUUCGGGUCUCCUGGCAGCUCGGACCCGAAUCGGAUUCAACUUUAAUUCGUGAUAUCUUUCUCUAGCAAGCUCCGAAUCAUGUGCCGUUUGAUUUGUUGGAAAGUACACUUGAAAUCCUUUCCUCUCAGCUGUACGAAUGCUUGAUUCUUGUUGGCCCUCCCGUUUGCCUCCAUCGUAUCUCAUCUUGACCUUGGACUUGAAAAGCUCGAGAAGAUGCCUACGUAAUAAAACGAGACAAGAUAGUAGUAGCUCCGUCUCUUCAUAAAUAUGACAAUGAAAACAAUUACUACUUGAAUUCACCUGAUUAUAAAUCUUGUCAAAUAUUAUAGAAUUGAGGGUACCAAAGGUUGUAUCCAUGGUUAGCAUGUCCAUAUCAGCUUGAGUUUUCAAUGCAAGUUCCUUUUCUUUCUUCAGGGCGAUGUGGUCAGCCUUUUCUUUUCUUCGGCUUCAUUCUUAGCCUUCUUAUUCUGCAGUUCAGCAGCUUUCUUCUCUUUCAAGGCAGCUUCUGCCUUCUCCUUCUCAACACGUUUCUUCUUAGCACGUUCUUCUUCUUCCAAUCUCUUGGCAACACGCAAACUGCGGUUCUGCUCCCAUUGUUUAGCCUGAGUCUUGGCAACAAUCAGGCCUUCAACAUGGCUCAUGAGGGAAUCCGGGAGCGUUCCUUCAUUUAAAGCAGCAAGAAGAACUGGAUCAAUGUGAACGACUUGAGGAGGAUAAGGAACUUCUCCAGAGGCCAUGGUGGCAGCAUCAGCAACAGCGUCCUUGGAUGAGGAACCGGGUCCAACAGCAGAGGCUUUCCUAGCUUUGUUCAGAUCCUUCUGGAACUGUUUCUCUGCGUCUUCAGCAGCUUUCCUCUUCUCAGGCAUCUUGGCCUUGCCCUUGGAGUCUUCACUAGGCUUGUUGCGAGGCGCAAGAGGAGGCAGUGAAGAACCUUUGAUCCUGGAUGCUCUGGCAGGACCGCACAGUUCAACGGCUGGUUCAGACAGGAACACAUCGGUGUCUUCAGUGUCUGAAGUUUUCUUGGACUUGGGCUUCUUGGAGAGGUCAACAUAGUUGAUAUCCCUGAUGAUCUGCAGAGCCCUUCUGUUGAAUUCCUCACGGUGAGGUCCGCCUUCCUUGCGGGCAAUCUUGAAGUUUCCCAGCUUGGGAGCCGGAAAGACAAGUUGGCACUCUCUGCUUCUUUCGUUCUUCGGCGAAUCUGAAAGGGAAACCUUGCCCCUGUAUGGGUUUUGAUGAAUGAUGACAACAUGGUUGAGGAACUAAUGAGUUACACUGUGUGUUUCAGGUUUUAGUUCCUCAGAAGAAUUGAUUUAACCAGCAUCGAUGACCCCUAAAAAUUGAAGUACAGGUACUGGCGUGAAGUAUGAAGAGCUCAGUGAAGAACGGUGAAGAACGUGAAGCAUAGCAUUCUUCAUAGGUCUUUCCGUAGCUUUGUUUCACUUGAGUAUAGGAACGCCGUACUAUUAAGGGGGGUUUGAAGUGUGGAGCUGGUUUAGGUGAAACCUUAUUCUUCAUGUUUCAGCUUAGGCGAAAACCAUUUUCUGUGUGUGUUUUUCGUCGGAGUGAAGAAUGAAGCAUUUCAGGCUUCACAGAAACUUUCGCAUGAAGUCUUCACUCUGAGUUCAAAUGUGUUUGAAAUUCUAUCGCUUUUUUGCUUGACCACCUAAUCUAACCGUUGUGAGACUAAGUGAUAAAGUGUGAGCUGGAGGCUCAAAUUUCAUUUUAUCCAAUGGGUCACAGCGGCUAGAUCAGCCGUGGCCAAGGCUAUAUAAGACGACCCACCCCGAAGGAAUUCGGUGGUGAUCCCGAGUGAGUUGUUUUGAAGAACACCUGAUAAAACCCUUAGAACUGAACUGAGCGUGAAGAAUGGGAUCCCCUCUCUAGCCGAGCACUUGAAGCUUGUUACUCUUGGUGAUUGGCAUCACCUAGACGGCUAGGAGUCAGUGUUGAAGAGCAAUCGAAGAUUGUGAUUUGCCAUCAAUCAGUCUGUGAAGGUCCGGAGAUCACCUCAAGAUCUACCACGAGUAACUGGGCGAGACUUCGGUCUGAGCUCAGGAGGAUUGGGUGGACUUGUGUGUCCGCGAGUCUUGUGUGACUUAGCCCCAUCAACGGAGACAUAGGAUUGUGCCAACAAUCUGAACUUCGGAAACAAAUCCCUGUGUCUUCGGUCUUGGUGAUUUCGUUCCUCAACUUUUACUCUGUGAAGUGUAACUGAUUCAUUAUGUUCUGUCUUCAUUGCUGCUGCUAAAACUGUUCAUCUUUCUUCUUUCCGCUGCAACUCUAAAAUUGGUGUAAUCUCUAUUGUUGAAGUACUGUGACUGUCUUCAGUCUUCAGUCUUGAAGAAAGAAUUAAAACUGGUCACAUUCACCCCCGCCCCUCUGUGACAUACUCGAUCUUUCACUUGGUAUUAGAAAUAGGCAUUCUUGGUUUGGUUUAACCACCUGAGGAAGAAGUAUGUCUAAGGAAGGGAAGUUACCUGUUCUUAGCAGUACAAAUUAUGCUUUUUCGAAAAAUCGCAUUAAGAUUCACAUCAUAUCUACUGACCCUUGUGCUUGGGAAGCAGUCACAAGUGGCCUUGUUGUUCCUCAGGGACCCAUCUCUGGAUAUGACUCUAUCUCUCUGAAGAAUUAUCAAGCAAAUGCCAAAGCUUGUGAUAUCAUCUUCUCAACUGUCAGUGAUGGUGAGUUCAACAAGAUUAGCAAUCUUACUGACGCAAAGAAGCUCUAGGAUCUUCUCGCUGAAGUUCAUGAAGGGACAACCACUGUCAAAUAUUCUAGAGUUACAAGCCUUGUCAGUCAGUUUGAUCAUCUUAUGCUUGAGCCCAAUGAGACCGUUUCUUCACUGUACGAUCGCAUGAGCACGAUCGUGAACGAGCUAAAUACUCUCGAUGAUCACAACAUCACCGACUUGAUGCAAACAGAAGGUUUCUUCGAACUCUCCCCAUGGAAUACACUACUGUCUAUGAGCUGAUCAAGCAUAGGUCAGACUUCAAGGAAUUAACUCCGACCUGGGUUCUUAGAAGAAUCGUGUCCUAUGAACUUGACCAAGAAGAGAAUGAUUCAUGGUUCAGGAUCCAGUUCCAAGAACAACAAUGUUGCACUCAAGGCCAAGAAAUCGUCCAAGAAGAUUGUCAGCUCCAGUGAAGAAUCUAAAGAAUCGUCUUCGUCUAAUGAAGAAUCCAAUGACGAGCUUGCUCUUUUUGUGAAGAGGUUCAAUAAGAAGUUUGGAAGUAAGUUUUGGAAACAAACUGAAGUAUCAAGGUGAAUCCAGCUCCUCCAAGUUUCGGAAAUCAGCUCAUCGGAAGAAGUCUGAUAUGGCCAAGAGAGCUUGCUUCAACUGUGGCAAGAAAGGCCACUUCAUUGCUGAGUGCCCUGAGAAAGCUGAUGAAGACAAGGAGAAGAAAAGCUUCAAGAAGCACUCUCACAAGAAGAACCAUGAUCGUCACAAGAAGAAGGAUUGGAAAAAGGACUCUGCUCACAAGAAGAAGGGCAAGUACUACUCUAGAGCACAUGUUGGUGAAUGGAACUCAGAUUCUUCAUCAUCUGAAGAAUCAUCUGACUCUGAGUCUGAAGACGGUGUCGCCGGAUUGGCCAUAGCUAUUACAUCUGCCAGAGAGAAGACCUCACUGUUUGACUCUGCAGAUUCAUCCUAAGAUGCGUCCGGAGACGAUCGUUCCUCACCAUCAUGCUUCAUGGCAAAAUCCUCUAAGGUAUCAUCUCCUAGUGAAGAAGUAAACUCUAGUGAUAAUGAUGAAACUGAUAAUGAAGAAUCUGAACCCAUGACAUAUGAAAAACUUCAGUUCAUCGUUGAGAAGCAAGAAGACCUGCUUAUCACUGAGAUCAAGAAGAACACUAACAUGGCUAAUGAAAUCAAAAAACUCAAGUCUAAGUUUCGGGCCAUGGAAGAGGCUCAUAAGGAUCUGAAGAAAACUCAUGCUGAGAUUAGUCUUAACUAUGUUUCGAUUAAGCUCGGGCAUGAAAAUCUGAAGAUUUCUCAUGAGGACCUCAAAAUUGAGAAUCUUGAUCUCAAUGCUAAGCUAGUUGACUUACCUCAACACGAUGAUUCCUCUGAAGUAUGCCCUAAAUGCAAUUCUUCAUUGAACAACAUUCCUCAAAUCACUACUUCACAUGCUGUGACUCAAACUGAUUUCCCUGAUUCACCCGAUAUUGCUUCUAGUUUUACUACCAUUGGUGAAUCUUGCUCUGUUGUCACUAACCCUUCACCUAGUGAUCUUUCACUAGUGGAAGAAAAUGCUAAGUUGAAGAAGCAGAUUGAGGCUGGUAUCCUCAAGUGUCACCAAGGCACUGAAACCUUGAACCAGAUUCUUGGUCUUCAAAUUCCUCGCCGACGCAAGGAUGGUAUCGGUUUUCAGAGGAAGUAUAAUGUUAAUGGUGAUGCUUGGCUCCCUGAGCAAUAUCCCCCUAUAAAGUUUGUCCAGGGAAGAGGGAAGUAUACUGAGGUUCCUCCAUUUGUGGGAAAUCUGAAUCCCCGCAAGGAUGCUUCAAAGCUUCCCGAUACUUCAUGUGCUUACCCGAUAUUCCAUGUUAAUGAAUCUUACAUUCUGAAGAUGGGUAAGGAUAAUAAAGUGAGAGCUAAUUUCACUGGAACCAUAAUGCGUGGGGAACAUGCAAAACCUCAAAUCUGGGUGCCAAAAUCUGUCAUUACAUUUUUCCGUAAUGCCUUGUAUUCUUCAAGUUCUACUAACGUGCAGGAACCCAUGAAGACAUGGGUGCCUAAACGAGCCUAACUUUCUUCGUAGGCAUAAGAACUUGGUCCUCAACAUCAUGAGAAUAUCACUUUUGGUGACAAUGGUAAGGGAAAGGUAAUUGGUCUCGGCAAAAUUGCUAUUUCCAAGGAAAAUGACCUGUCUAUCAAUGAAGUACUUCUUGUUGAAUCACUUGGAUAUAAUCUUCUAUCAGUUGCUCAACUAUGUGAUAAUGGACUAAUCGUUUGCUUCACAAGACCAUAUGUGUAUGUUACUUCAGAAAAGGAUAACUCUUUUGUCUUCAGAGGGCGAAGAAAGGGUAACCUCUAUCUUGUCAAUUUUGAAGACUCCUCAUACUCACCCCCUACGUGUCUAGUUGCAAAAUCCUCACUAGGGUGGCUCUGGCAUAGAAGACUCGGUCAUGUGGGCAUGAAGAAUUUGAACAAGCUUGUCAAAGGCGACCACAUCCGAGGCUUGAAGAACGUUUCCUUUGAAAAAGAUCGUUUAUGCAGUGCGUGCCAAGCUGGGAAGCAAAUCGGAGCGUCUCAUCCCGUGAAGAACGUCAUGUCUACUUCAAGACCUCUCGAGCUGCUUCACAUGGAUCUUUUUGGUCCUACAACUUACAUGAGUAUAGGAGGUAACUCAUAUGGCUUUGUGAUUGUUGAUGAUUAUUCACGUUUCACUUGGGUGUUUUCUUUGGAUGAUAAGAGCACAGUAUGAUAGCCUCGAGGGUGUCCCGAUCUUUCGAUGAGAUACCUAAUUAUCGAUUUGGUAGGAGGUGACGUUGACGAUCCGACUACAACCUAGGAGGCAGCGCCUUAGCGAUCGAUACACCAACUCCAGAAGGUUAUUGAUCCCACGGGGGCACGAUCAACCUGACCACGAAGGUCUUUGUUCCUGCAAGCAAUCGAAGAACAAGCAAGAACAAGAUGAAAAGCAAUCUGAAAUUGCGAAUAGGAGAUAUGAAGGUUCACGAAUCUGAAUACUCAAUAUAGUUGGAGUCUUGAUGACGGUAAAACAGGUGGUCUAACCGACACACGCGAUUACACGAAAGUAGCAAAGGCUAAACUUUAUCUAAUCAAAACCCAAGGCUCCAUAGGGGGGCUCAUGGGGUAUAAAUAGGAGGGGAACUAGGUGGUUUUCGGCCAGGCCCUUGUGGGAGUCCGAAACGGCCUAGGAAUCCUCUUAAAACACAACGAAAACAUCUAAAAAUUGGCUGGACCCUAUUACAUGGCCUUAGGCCCAAUAAAACAAGGUUAUAACCCUCAUCUUUGGCCCAUAGAUACCCAUUGGAGGGGGAAUCCUCCACUUGGCCGAAAUCCCAUUGAUGAAUAGGAUGCGGCCUUCUUCUCAUCUCUUUAUGGCGGUUUGAAUGUUCUGAAAUCAACACUUGAGCUACCUCCCACCACCUUGCUGCCACCUCCAUGGUUUGCUGUCCAACGCUGAUCCUUGAGGUCCAAGCUAGGUCCUUCAUUCCUAAAACACAUAAAAGAACCCAUCUUAGGCAGCAGCAUAUUCUCAUUAAUAUUAAAUGAAGUACUGAGGAACGAAAGUACCUGAUAAUUUAGUUGUCGUGCACGAGCUCUAGUAAUUGGUCCAUGUAUCUCCGGUACUUGAGGUGUAGGUGCUGUAGGGGCUGUGGUUGUAUCAUUAGUUGGGAUGUCCUCAUCACA